rnacentral:miRNA from 1 species
GCAAAGAGCACACAUUCAAUCUCUCUCUCUCUCUCUCUCUCUCUCUCUAUGUGUGUGUGUGUGUGUGUGUGUGAGAGAGAGAGAGAGAGAGAGAGAGAGAGAGAGAGAUGUUGUGGAUGGACAUAUCCA